GGUAGUUCUCAUGUGAUAGGCUAAUGUUGGUCACAUGGAAGGUGUCUAGUCAAGGAGAGACUUCAUUUUAUGUGAAACAAAAUGACUGUUUUAGAACCCACUUGUGAAUGUUGUUAAAUUGGAUAGAUUGUUGGAGUGCUUCUUCGCUGCUUUGAAAGAAAUAGAGAAAAGCUGCAGCAGAAGGCAGACUGCAGAAACAGAUUAAUUUAUUGAGCCCCCUUCUGGGCUACCACGCUUGACAGGUGUACAUCAAUCUGUCUGAGCAAGAGGGCUAUCGAAGUAGCGGCCAGCAACAGUUUCUCUUUGCCUGACCCCCAAAAACUCCACUUCAGGGAAGGUCUUAGACCAGCACAUACACAAUGACUUGGAGCUGAAGAUGUGAUCUGACAACAGGCUUUGCAACUGAAGAGAUACAAGGCUUUUCUCCCAAGUGAUUUGUAGAAGGUUUCGACCUUUGUCAGUUUUAUUGUUGUCUUCAUUUAUCUACUGCCACAGUUUGAAACAGCAGAUUAAGAAAUGGAUGUAACUUUCCUUCCUGGCUGAAAAAGAGGAAAAGAAUGGAGCAGGUGAAAAAGAGGCUGACAAUUACCAUUUCUGUUAAUUACUUAAAAUGGAUAAGUAGCAUUUACUGAAGAUGUGCAUCCAUGCCAAAUGGGUUUUGAAAACAGAUCUAUAAGUUCCCAAGUGAUGAUGAUGUUGAUGAUAAUACUAUGAAAGGGAAAAAGCUACCCACAAAAACAAUUCAUUAAACAUUUUUUUUUAUACCACCAAA